AUACAGUAGGCUGACGGACAUGUGAUCUAAAAGUCAACGUGUUUCAUUUACAAUCUUCUUUAUACUGUAAAACCCAUUUUGAAAUGAACAGUGAGAAACAUGAAUACGUUAUGGUAGCAUUUUUGAUUGGUUUCAUAUAAAUUAUUUGAAUUAAGAUUGUUAUUCAGUAAAGAAAUUUAAAUUGACUAAACCGUUUCUUUCCAGUGUAUUUUGUCAUAUUUAAGGUGAUUUUAGUAUUGGGACAACACAAAAUUGUUAAUAAAUUUGACUGGUCAGAAGGGAUCAAACCCACAGUUUACUCUUGCGAAUGUCAUAUAUAAUUUGAACCCAAACUCAAAGAUCAUAUUCUUGUUAAGGAAUCCAGUGAAAAGAAUUUAUUCAGAGUACUUACAUUUUGGGAAUGGGAAGACAAAAAGUGCUAGUGAUUUUCACGCAAAGAUCAAAGCCGCCAUACAGACACAUUGGUAUUGUUUAAAGAGGCAUUGCCUCCGAUACUGCUCAUAUUUUUAUGUCAGCGAGGGAGUAAGGCUUGAAGUUUCAAUAUACCACGUGUACGUAGAAGAUUACUUUCGUGUCUUUCCACGAGAUCAAGUGCAUAUCGUAAAAACAGAAAACUUUUCUACGAAUAUGCAAGCUGUUGUUGCAGAUGUCUUUAGGUUUUUAGAAAUCGAAAAUUCGACGGAGGAAAUAAUAACAGCAAUUUUGGCUCUUGGUAUGAAAAAAGGUUAACACAAAACAGUACGCUCUACAUGGUCAGUUGUUGCCAGACACUAAAGAACUUUUAUCUAACUUUUACAAAGCACACAAUAAGAAGUUAAAUGAGCUUCUUCAGGUAGACAUGGGGUUUGAUUAAUGAUUUCCAAUGAUCAAACGGUGAAUUUAACAAAAAAAAAUAGUAUAUGCAUCUGUUAGUUUGUAUGUGCUUUUGCAUAGAUUAUAUAUGUCAGGAAAAGGAAAAUCUUAUCAACACAUAGUGAAUGCAACUUAUAAAAGCAGAAGGAGUAUUAUAUAAAAUCUACAAAGACAACGUGAGGAUAAGAUAAGAUAUUUUAAAAACACCUGAAAUAACUGUUUACACAUGUAAUCUAUUGACUUUGCAUCCUUGCUAUAAAGUAAGCAACGAAUUAUAUAUGUGAACGAUGGUACACGUCAGUAUUAACUUAGUUAUCAUUGACAAUUAUAGUAUUUGUACCGCAUCAAAUCAAGUUUUUCAUCUUUAUCUGGGUUCUGUGAAGUAUCAUCAGUAGACAAAAGACCUGAAUAUGAAUAAUAAUUAGAGGCUCAUGUUAGUUGAUAAUCAUAUUAAAGGCAUAUUCAUUUAAUGGUAUGUGAAUUUCAAUGUAAUACAUGUUUUGUAAUACAUGUAUUAAUGUCAAAUGUUUCUAUAAAAGAAUAUGUGUCGAUGUCGGUUGAAAAAGUUAGAAAAAUGCAAAAAAAAAUAUAAUAUAUUAUUAUACAAACAUGCAUUUUUUGUAGCUUUCGAAUAGUUGCAGUUGCAAUCUUUGAACAGACUAACAAUGUAAGGUUGGUACAGUGAAUUUAUUCCCACUUAGUCUUAAGAUAAAGACAUUGAAAUAAGAAAGUUGGAGUUAACAAAAACAACCUUCAAAAUAUGAAUAUCGUACGAAAAUUCAUUUUAAUUCAGUUUACACCAAAUAUGGAAUUUCUUGAAAACAAACGCUACUCUAAAUACAACAACAAAUAUGAACUGAUAGAUAAGGGUUUGCAAAAGAUAAUGGUCCAGAACAGUCAAUUAAAAAUAUAUUUUGCGAUAGUGGACAAAACGGUAGGAUUUGUUAAAUAAAUCAAAGCAAUGGACACAUUUUUUUAUAAAGGAAAUAGGAGUGACCAUCUGAAAACAUACAAACAACAAUAUUAUAUGAAAUUAAAGACUUAGUUUACCAUUUUAUGAACAUAAACUACAUCUUUUAACUGAAGAUGUAGAGCUUUUGCAAAGUUAUAUCAAUACAGUACGAUUUUGAAUGAAUAUUGAAUGUACUUAAUUAUUGGACCGAACUAUACAACACAGCUUUAAUUGCAUCUUAAUUUUGUUUACAAUUUUGUGCUUUGAAUUUCUAGACACAAUUAGGCGUACUAAGUGGUUUAAUACACAUUGUUCUUGGAAUUUCCUGUAAAAAAGGCAAGUACUGACAUACAUCCAUAAAACUGUUUAAAGAUAGUCGGCACUUUAUUUAUUCAGUGAAAUGAGGAAAUGACGAGGCUUUGGGAAUAAAUUAGAUUGACAGGAUAAAAUUAAUUUUUGAUUAAAGUGUGACAUACCCAUAUCGAAAAUUGAUCUCAGAUUUUUAUAACAUAUGAUUGCGAGUGGAUAUACUAUUCUAAAGGUCAUUUUGUUUAAAGAUUUGAAAAGCUUUGUUUAAAACUGUUUUUGUCGAUAUAGCUAUUUUCAUUGCAUGGUUCUAAUAUGUUUUCAUGGUCAUUAUUUGUCCUUUGACAUCUGCCCGUGUCCUUAAUUUGUCGUUAUUUUUCUUCAGUUAUUAUUUCAUUUUCAAACUGUCCAAGAAGCUUCGUAAACAUUUGGGACCUUUUAUGAAAACAAACAAGAAUACUGAGGAAAUGGUUAUAUUCUUACUACUUUUAAGAGUUAAGGAGUUGUGUGCCUUUAACUUGUAUCGAACACUGUUUUAUGUUGUUGAGAUCCGAUGUGUGUUUAAGUAUAAACAAUAUUUUAAAGAAUGACUAUAGAGCCAUGGAAAGGAAGAAACAGGGGAUUUUCAUUCCUUUUAAUAUUAAUACAUAUGAUUUACUGGAAUACUUUUGUAUUUGCGGUCACUGAAAGCUUGAUUCUAUAAAUCUAUACUACUGUAUGUUGAUAUCAAUUUUAUCAGGCUCGGCUGAUAUUGGCAAAAGAGCUCGGCAAGCUGUAUUUCACUGUAUACAGAGAACAUUCCGAUGUUUGUUUCUUGUAAAAUUAUGCAUGUAAAUUAAACAAUGUGUACAGUAGAGCUCCAGUCCUGUUACUUUUUGAACAACCCUCGUAAUUGACAGCACAUGUAAAUCAAACUACAGGUGCUGGUAACUACGAGGGGCAUAUACAAGCCAUCUCAAAUUAUAGUUAUAAUCUACUUGUAAAACGAUAUAAAUUUAUAAAAUAUAAAACUAGAUUUAUCGAAUGUAUUGAAAAAAUACAGACUAUGAAAAAGAAACACUUCUUGCAAAAACAAGGAUUUUGGAUAAACAGUACAAGGUGUGAAUAAAGAUAUUUAAGAGUAUAUAGUUUUGCCAGUGUCUUAAUUUUGGAUAUUUUGUCAGCCCAAUUCCAUGUUGUUGCUAGGCUAGAUUAAUGUCUAGUGUAACGACAACAAUCCUAAGCGGGCUUUGCAAUAUGUAUGAUGUCAAUUAACUUCUUGAAUGAUUAACUUUAAAUAAUCUUGAAUUAAAUAUAUUAUCAUUUAUUGCGCUUAAUGCAUUUUUUAGUAUUAUUAUU